CUGGAUAUUCCUCCAGAAUCUUACCUAAUAGCAAGGAUGCUUCGUGUCCACUUUACAAAAGGUUAAGCGGUACAUCUGCAGAUAGCCAGACUCAUCCAAGCACAGUGGGGAGGACUACAACAGAAGUUCUGGUCUCCUGAAUCCAGUUCUCAGCUAUCAUGGCCAGAAGCUUAAUUGUAUGUGAAGUCCAAAACCAACAAAGUUACCAGGCCAAGCUUCUUCCAAAAAUGUUUCACAGAGAUCUCCCUAGUUGGAUUCUUGUCUUCUACAUCAGGCCUUCUCUAAAGUAAUGCAUUAAGAAAUAUCACAUUGUUCUACCAUGAUUCUUAUGAGUGUAAGUUAACUCCUGCAUCUUCUUGUGUUGCCGUAUUGCUUUUCAUGGCAAGGUUUUGGUAGUGGGUGUGGGGCUGGGGUGGGGGGGUGCUGCAGAGGUGGCUUUGAUGAGAAGACACUAGAAACUGCCUUUAUGUCCAAUAGAACCAAUGCCAACUGGCUCCCAGACAGACUCGCUGCUGGCCAAAGCUGAGCCAAUCAAUGACACUGGUAGUGCCUCUGUGAUAACAUACUUAAGAAAGGGUAAAAAAAACCUCUGUGCAGCAGCAGCUGGGUGAGAGGAGAAAAUGUGAGAGAAACAACCAUGCAGACAUCAAAGUAAUUGAAAAAGGAGGGAGAGGAGGUGGUCCAGGAGCCAGAGCAGAGAUAUCCCUGCCAGCCUACGGAAGUCCACGGAGGAGCAGGUAUCCACAUACAGCCCACAGGCAAUCCCAUGCUGAAGCAAGCUCCUGACAGAAAUUGUGACCUUAUGGAACAGAGCCCAUGCAGGAGGAGAUUUUCUGACAGGGCCUGUGGCCCCACAGAAGACCCACACUGGAAUCGUUUGUGAAGAACUGCAGCCCGUGGGAAGAACACACAUAGGAGAAGUUAAUGAAGAACUGUCUCCCAUGGUGGGACUCCAUACUGGAGCAGGGGAAGAGCAUGAGGGGGAAAGAGAAGCAGAGAAAACACAUAAUGAACUGACCACAACUUCUGGUCCCUCUUCCCCUGCAUUUCUUGGCAGAAGGUGCUAGAGAAAUCAAGAAUGAAAUUGCUCCCAGGAAGAAAGAAGGGGCAGGGUAAAAGGUGGUUUUAGAUUUAUUCUUAUUUCUCAUUAUACUACUCUGAUUUUCUUGGCAAUAAAUUAAAUUAAUUUCCCAAGUCAAGUCUGUUUUGCCCAUGAUGGUAAUGGCUGAGUGAUAUCCCAGUCCUUAUCUUGACCCAUGACCAUUUUGUUGUAUUUUCUCUCCCUGUCCUGUUGGUGAGAGACAGUUAUAGAGCAACUGGCAAUCAGCCAAGGACAGUGCACCAACAGUAGCACAGUCCAGUGUUUAGGUAAUUGAACUAUUGUCUUAUUGUCUAUUGGUUGGCUGCUAGAGCAUCACCACUGCCCUGUAAAGGAAACUCAAAAAUCCUGUUCUGGCUGGGUGGAUUUUAUCUGAACUUAAAACAAGAUGAUUCUAAAUGAUAAAUGUUCAGCUUAGGCCUUACAUUCUUUUUUAAACUACUAGGCAGCUAUGGAAAGGCUACGUAUUCAGACAACUCAGUAGAAAAUAGUUUUAUAUAGUGGAAGUUCAGAACUAUCGAUAUACUGUUAUAUUUCAUACACAUACAUAGAUAUCAAUAUAUUUAUCAAUAUACAAGUGAUGUCCCUCAAGGUUCCGUACUGGGACCAGUACUGUUUAAUAUUUUCAUCAGUGACAUAGACUGGGAUCGAGUGCACCCUCAGCAAGUCUGCAGAUGACACCAAGCUGAGCGGUGCAGUUGACACACCAGAAGGACAGGGUGUCAUCCAAAGAGACAUGGACAAGCUGGAGAGACAGCCAACUAUCUCCUAGGUUGCAUCCCCAGCAGCGUGGCCAGCAGGUCGUGGGAGGUGGUUCUGCUGCUCUGCUCUUGUGGGACCCCACCUGGAGUGCUGCAUCCAGCUCUGGAGGCCUCAGCACAAGAAGGUCAUGGUCCUGUUGGAGUGGGUCCAGAGGAAGCCACAAAAAUGGUCCGAGGGCUGGAGCACGACUCCUACAAGGACAGGCUGAGAGAGUUGGUUCAACCUGGGGAAGAGAAGGCUGUGGGGAGACCUUAUUGUGGCCUUCCAGUACUUAAAGGGAGACUGUAGGAAAGAUGGGGACAAUCUCUUUAGCAAGGCCUGUUGUGACAGGACAAGGGGUAAUGGUUUUGAACUGGAAGAGGAUAGAUUUGGACCAGACAAGGAAGAAAUGAUUUGCUAUGAGUGUGGUGAAACAGUGGCACAGGUUGCCCACAGAGGUGAUGGAUGCCCCACCCCUAGAGACAUUCAGUGUCAGGUUGGACGGGGCUCUGAGCAACCUGAUCUAGUUGAAGAUGUUCCCGUUCACUGCAGAGGGAUUGGACUAGAUGACCUCUAAAGGUCUCUUCCAACCCAAACCAUUCUAUGAUUCUAAUAUAUAGACCAAUAAAUGAGAAUAAGAAGACACAUCCAUUAAUAAACUGAAAUGUGGUGUAUUGUU